CCCCAGGGUAGAUGGUCAGAAGGUCAGGAAGCCUCACAACUCGCCUCCUGCCUGCGGGGACACAAUGGGGGGAGGUUCCUGCCAUGGAGGUGAUAGUGCCCCUUCUCUGAUGAGACCAGAAGAUGUCACCCUGUGAAGCUGAGUCAAUAGGAUCGUGAAGAAAUGGAUGGGAUCAGUCCUCUGCUAGCACAUCCCCCUGGUGCUAACAAUUCAGCCAGAUUGCCCAGCGCUGGAACCAGAGCCAAG